rnacentral:tRNA from 2 species
GGGCGUGUAGCUCAGUGGGAGAGCACUUCGUUGACAUCGAAGGGGUCACAGGUUCAAUCCCUGUCACGCCCACCA